rfam:Ipomoea nil DNA, scaffold: scaffold1043, cultivar: Tokyo-kokei standard.
GGUCCCAUGGUCUAGUGGUUAGGACAUUGGACUCUGAAUCCAGUAACCCGAGUUUAAGUCUCGGUGGGACCU